rnacentral:rRNA from 1 species
UGAGUACGAGAUGCUACGGCAUCGAAGCAGUCUAUGUCAUACUUCCAAGAAAAGCUUGCACUGUCAUAAACAAAGAAUGCCUGUACCAUAACCGACACAGGUGGGUAGGUAGAGUAUACUAAGGGGCGCGAGAUAACUCUCUCUAAGGAACUCGGCAAAAUGACUCCGUAACUUCGGGAGAAGGAGUGCCUUAUUUCUAAGGUUGCAAUAACAAGAUCCAAGCAACUGUUUACCAAAAACACAGGUCUCCGCUAAGUCGUAAGACGAUGUAUGGGGGCUGACGCCUGCCCAGUGCCAGAAGGUUAAAGAAGUUGGUUAGCAUUAGCGAAGCUGAUAACUGAAGCCCUGGUGAACGGCGGCCGUAACGAUAACGGUCCUAAGGUAGCGAAAUUCCUUGUCGGGUAAGUUCCGACCCGCACGAAAGGCGUAAUGAUUUGGAUACUGUCUCGGAGAGGGGCUCGGUGAAAUAGACUUGUCUGUGAAGAUGCGGACUACCUGCACCUGGACAGAAAGACCCUAUGAAGCUUUACUGUAACUUGAGAUUGAAAUUGGACUUUAUUUGCGCAGUAUAGGUGGGAGGCGUUGAGAAUAAUCUUGCGGGAUUGUUGGAGCCAUCAGUGAGAUACCACUCUUGUAAUGUUAGAUUUCUAACUUUGUAUCAUUAUCUGGUCAAAGAACAGUUUCAGGCGGGCAGUUUGACUGGGGCGGUCGCCUCCCAAAGGGUAACGGAGGCGCACAAAGGUUUCCUCUGAACGGGUAGAAAUCGUAUCUAGAGUGUAAAGGCAUAAGAAAGCUUGACUGUGAGACCUACAAGUCGAGCAGGGACGAAAGUCGGUCUUAGUGAUCUGACGGUGCUGAGUGGAAAGGCCGUCACUCAACGGAUAAAAGUUACUCUAGGAUAACAGGCUGAUCUCCCCCAAGAGUUCACAUCGACGGGGAGGUUUGGCACCUCGAUGUCGGCUCAUCGCAUCCUGGGGCGGUAGUCCGUCCCAAGGGUUGGGCUGUUCGCCCAUGAAAGCGGUACGCGAGCUGGGUUCAGAACGUCGUGAGACAGUUCGGUCCAUAUCCGGUGUAGGCGUUAGAAUAUUGAGAGGAGCCUUCUCUAGUACGAGAGGACCGAGAAGGACAUACCUCUGGUGUACCAGUUAUCGUGCCAACGGUAAACGCUGGGUAGCUAUGUAUGGAGUGGAUAACCGCUGAAAGCAUCUAAGUGGGAAGCCCACCUCAAGAUAAGUAUUCUCAC